CCUACGUGAGGCAGCAGUGGGGGAUAUUGCACAAUGGGGGAAACCCUGAUGCAGCGACGCCGCGUGGGUGAAGAAGCGCCUCGGCGCGUAAAGCCCUGUCAGCAGGGAAGAAAAUGACGGUACCUGAAGAAGAAGCCCCGGCUAACUACGUGCCAGCAGCCGCGGUAAUACGUAGGGGGCAAGCGUAUCCGGAUUUACUGGGUGUAAAGGGGGCGCAGACGGCGAUGCAAGCCAGGAGUGACAGCCCGGGGCCCAACCCCGGGACUGCUCUUGGAACUGCGUGGCGAGAGUGCAGGAGGGGCAGGGGGAAUUGCUGGUGGUGCGGGGAAAUGCGUAGAUAGCAGGAGGAACUCAGGUGGCGAAGGCGGCCUGCUGGACUGCAACUGACGUUGAGGCCCGAAAGCGUGGGGAGCAAACAGGAUUAGAUACCCUUGUAGUC
rnacentral:rRNA from 1 species